rnacentral:rRNA from 1 species
AGCUCCAGUAGCGUAUAUUAAAGUUGUUGCAGUUAAAAAGCUCGUAGUUGGAUUUCUGACUGACCUCGGUGGCCCGGUCUCCUUUUUAGGAACUGAGUGCUGUCAGUGCGUUUGUCAUCCUUCCAGAGAGUUGUGCCUACCGCUUUUGGCGGCCGGGCGCUGCGAUCUGGAUCUUUUACUUUGAAAAAAUUAGAGUGUUUCAAGCAGGCUUACGCUUUGAAUACAUUAGCAUGGAAUAAUAAUAUAGGACUUUGGUUCUAUUUUGUUGGUUUCUAGGACUGAAGUAAUGAUUGAUAGGGAUAGUUGGGGGUGCUAGUAUUCAGCGGCCAGAGGUGAAAUUCUUGGAUUCGCUGAAGACUAACUACUGCGAAAGCAUUCACCAAGGAUGUCUUCUUUAAUC